AUUGAACGCUGGCGGCAGGCCUAACACAUGCAAGUCGAACGAGUGGCGGACGGGUGAGUAAUGUCUGGGAAACUGCCUGAUGGAGGGGGAUAACUACUGGAAACGGUAGCUAAUACCGCAUACCAUCGGAUGUGCCCAGAUGGGAUUAGCUAGUAGGUGGGGUAACGGCUCACCUAGGCGACGAUCCCUAGCUGGUCUGAGAGGAUGACCGGCCACACUGGAACUGAGGCACGGUCCAGACUCCGACGGGGGGCAGCGGUGGGGAAUAUUGCACAAUGGGCGCAAGCCUGAGGCAGCCAUGCCGCGUGUGUGAAGAAGGCCUUCGGGUUGUAAAGCACUGUCAGCGGGGAGGCGUUACCCGCAGAAGAAGCACCGGCUAACUCCGUGCCAGCAGCCGCGGUAAUUC
rnacentral:rRNA from 1 species